UUUAAUAUGGCAGAAUAGUGCAUUGAAUUUAAGCUUCAAAUAUAAAGUUUUUUAAUACUUUUAUUAAAA
rnacentral:tRNA from 1 species